rnacentral:tRNA from 1 species
UCCCUAGUGGCUCAGUUGGUAAAGAAUCUGCCUGCAAUGCAGGAGACCCAGGUUUGAUCCCUGGGUCGGGAA